rnacentral:rRNA from 1 species
CACGCAGUAAACGAUGAUUACUAGCUGUUUGCGAUAUAAUGUAAGUGGCUAAGGGAAACCGAUAAGUAAUCCACCUGGGGAGUACGUUCGCAAGAAUGAAACUCAAAGGAAUUGACGGGGGCCCGCACAAGCGGAGGAACAUGUGGUUUAAUUCGAUGAUACGCGAGGAACCUUACCCGGGCUUGAAAUGCAGAGGAAUAACUUGGAAACAGGUUAGUCAGCAAUGACCUCUGUGUAGGUGC